GUUUAGGUAGCAGAGCCCGGUUAUGCAAAAGACCUAAGCCCUUUUUACAGGGGUUCAAAUCCCCUCCUAAACU
rnacentral:tRNA from 1 species